AUACGUAGGUGACAAGCGUUAUCCGGAUUUAUUGGGUUUAAAGGGUGCGUAGGCGGAUGAUUAAGCGUGAGGUGAAAUGCCACUGCUCAACAGUGGAACUGCCUCGCGAACUGGUUGUCUUGAAUGCUCCUGCCGUGGGAGGAAUGUGUGGUGUAGCGGUGAAAUGCAUAGAGAUCACACAGAACACCGAUUGCGAAGGCAUCUCACGAAGGGGUGAUUGACGCUGUGGCACGAAAGCGUGGGGAUCAAACAGGAUUAGAUACCCUGGUAGUCCACGCAGUAAACGAUGAUAACUAACCGCUGGGUCGUAGUGAUUCAGUGGCCAAGCGAAAGCGAUAAGUUAUCCACCUGGGGAGUACGACCGCAAGGUUGAAACUCAAAUGAAUUGACGGGG
rnacentral:rRNA from 1 species